ensembl:misc_RNA Metazoa_SRP Metazoan signal recognition particle RNA
GCAAGGCAUGAUGGUAUACACCUGUAAUCUCUGCUACUGGGUAGCCUAAGACUAGUAGAACACUCAGGUUUGGGAGUUCUGAGCUUCAGUGUUCUAAGCCAGUUGGUUAUCUUCACUAAGUCUGGCACCAGUAUGGCGAGCUCCUGAGAGCAAAGGGCCACCAGGCUGCCUAAGGAGGGGCAAACUGGCUCAGGCUGGAAAUGGAGCAGAUCAAAACUCCUAUGGCAGUCAGUAAUGGGAUUGGGUCCAUGAGUGGUCACUGUUCUUCAGGUCUGGAUGACAUAGGGAGAUCGAGUCUCA